GAUGAACGCUAGCUACAGGCUUAACACAUGCAAGUCGAGGGGCAGCAUGGUCUUAGCUUGCUAAGGCCGAUGGCGACCGGCGCACGGGUGAGUAACACGUAUCCAACCUGCCGUCUACUCUUGGACAGCCUUCUGAAAGGAAGAUUAAUACAAGAUGGCAUCAUGAGUCCACAUGUUCACAUGAUUAAAGGUAUAUCGGUAGACGAUGGGGAUGCGUUCCAUUAGAUAGUAGGCGGGGUAACGGCCCACCUAGUCUUCGAUGGAUAGGGGUUCUGAGAGGAAGGUCCCCCACAUUGGAACUGAGACACGGUCCAAACUCCUACGGGAGGCAGUAGUGAGGAAUAUUGGUCAAUGGGCGAGAGCCUGAACCAGCCAAGUAGCGUGAAGGAUGACUGCCCUAUGGGUUGUAAACUUCUUUUAUAAAGGAAUAAAGUCGGGUAUGUAUACCCGUUUGCAUGUACUUUAUGAAUAAGGAUCGGCUAACUCCGUGCCAGCCGCCGCAGUAA
rnacentral:rRNA from 1 species